rnacentral:rRNA from 1 species
GGGAGGAGCUUGCGUCACAUUAGUUAGUUGGUAGGGGUAAAGGCCUACCAAGACUAUGAUGUGUAGCCGGGCUGAGAGGUUGAACGGCCACAUUGGGACUGAGACACGGCCCAAACUCCUACGGGAGGCAGCAGUAGGGAAUUUUCGGCAAUGGAGGAAACUCUGACCGAGCAACGCCGCGUGAACGAUGAAGUAUUUCGGUACGUAAAGUUCUUUUAUUAGGGAAGAAUAAAUGAUGGAAAAAUCAUUCUGACGGUACCUAAUGAAUAAGCCCCGGCUAACUAUGUGCCAGCAGCCGCGGUAAUACAUAGGGGGCAAGCGUUAUCCGGAAUUAUUGGGCGUAAAGGGUGCGUAGGCGGUUAAAUAAGUUUAUGGUCUAAGUGCAAUGCUCAACAUUGUGAUGCUAUAAAAACUGUUUAGCUAGAGUAAGAUAGAGGCAAGUGGAAUUCCAUGUGUAGUGGUAAAAUGCGUAAAUAUAUGGAGGAACACCAGUAGCGAAGGCGGCUUGCUGGGUCUUUACUGACGCUGAGGCACGAAAGCGUGGGGAGCAAACAGGAUUAGAUACCCUGGUAGUCCACGCCGUAAACGAUGAGUACUAAACGUUGGGUAAAACCAGUGUUGAAGUUAACACAUUAAGUACUCCGCCUGAGUAGUACGUACGCAAGUAUGAAACUUAAAGGAAUUGACGGGACUCCGCACAAGCGGUGGAUCAUGUUGUUUAAUUCGAAGGUACCCGAAAAACCUCACCAGGUCUUGACAUGCUUCUGCAAAGCUGUAGAAACACAGUGGAGGUUAUCAGUUGCACAGGUGGUGCAUGGUUGUCGUCAGCUCGUGUCGUGAGAUGUUGGGUUAAGUCCCGCAACGAGCGCAACCCUUAUUGUUAGUUACCAGCACGUAAUGGUGGGGACUUUAGCAAGACUGCCAGUGAUAAAUUGGAGGAAGGUGGGGACGACGUCAAAUCAUCAUGCCCCUUAUGACCUGGGCUACAAACGUGAUACAAUGGCUGUUACAAAGGGUAGCUGAAGCGCAAGUUUUUGGCGAAUCUCAAAAAAACAGUCUCAGUUCGGAUUGAAGUCUGCAACUCGACUUCAUGAAGUUGGAAUCGCUAGUAAUCGCGAAUCAGCAUGUCGCGGUGAAUACGUUCUCGGGGUUUGUACACACCGCCCGUCAAACCACGAAAGUUGGCAAUACCCAAAGCCGGUGG